AUUGCACGCUAGCGGGAUGCUUUACACAUGCAAGUCGAACGAGUGGCGGACGGGUGAGUAAUAUCUCUGACCGUGCCCAGUUGCUGGGGAUAACUACCCGAAAGUGUCGCUACUACCGCCUACUCUCGGAGCCGCCGAUAUCGGAUUAGCUAGUUGGUGGGUUAAAGGCUCACCAAGGCGACGAUCCGUAGCUGGUUUGAGAGGACGACCAGCCAAACUGUGACUGAGACACGGGCCAGACGCGUACGGGAGGCAGUAGUGGGGAAUGGUGGACAAUGGGGGAAACCCUGAUGCAGGCAUCGCGCGUGUAGGAGAAGGCCUUCGGGUUGUAAAGUACUUUUGGCGGGGAGGGGGUAGCUGCAGAAUAAGCACCGGAUAACUACGUGCCAGCAGCCGCGGUAAUAC
rnacentral:rRNA from 1 species